AAGUCGUAACAAGGUCUCCGUUGGUGAACCAGCGGAGGGAUCAUUACGAGAGUUGCAAAACUCCCUAAAACCCACUGUAAAUAUACCUAUUUUGGCUACUUCGGCAGGCGGUCCCAGGGCGGGGCCAUGGCCUUUUGAGACGCCUGCCAAAGCCUAUAAAACUCUUACUGUUACUGUAUUCUGAGCAUAAAAACAAAUAAGUUA
rnacentral:misc_RNA from 1 species